rnacentral:sRNA from 1 species
UCCAAUGCAUGAUGUCACACUGAUAUAGU